AAACUAAUUUUCCACCAAUGGACUCGAUUCAGUCUUGUGUCGGUAUUAGCAUUGGACGGGAACGUUUCCUCCUAGCGACCAAAGCAGCGGUUAGGCCAGCGAGCGCGCUCAAAGCGGAUACGAUGCAGUAAAAGCGCUAAAAGUGCAAAGUGACAUGCAUCCAUUUCUGCAAUAGAAAAUUUAUAUAAGCGAAAGUUUAAAAGACGGAAUUGAUUUUCAAAGAGGAAUAUCUCAAGUGAAGUUAAGAAACCUUGAAUGCGUUUUAAUUAAAAAUUUAAUACAUGCUAAAGUACUGCAAUGGAAAAAUAAUCAAGUAAAUAAUAGCAAAAUAAUCAUGACUAAAUGAAUAAGCAUAAAUAGUAUGAAAUUAUAGAAUUACGUGCAGAAAAAUUUAAGUUAAAAAAUUUCGAGCUAAAAGUCAACAAAAAACAGCUUUCAAACAUUAGUAAAAAAAAAAUGCUACAAUGUAAAGCGAGCAAUUCAUCCCCUCGAAAGUCAUAAAUUUCUGCCGGCAAGCUUAUUUGCCUACACAGGCACGUUGAAUUACGAGGUGUUCGCCGCAAUUUUGUGUGCGCUUCCGGCGUCGUUUGUGCAUUUCCGGCCGGUCGAGCAGGCGUGCGUGCCAAUGUAAACGUAAACAUAUAUAUAAAAUAUAUAAAUACAAUAAUACUUGUAAAAGAGGUAGUGUUUGUGCGUGCACGAGAUGCAAGAAUGUGUAAACAAUUGAAUGUUGGAAUUUGAAAACUUUUUGAAAUUUUGCGACUAUUUGUGACACAUGCUUUUUGUA